AGCAUCGCAGCAGAAAAUCUAUCAGACAUCAGUCACAGCAGAGAGACGGUGUGCUUCUUUCACCAUUUUGGCAACAUGUUCAAGCUCACUCUAAUUGCAGGUCUCUGCGUGAUCAUCGCCAGCUUGGGU